rnacentral:rRNA from 1 species
UACGUAGGUGGCAAGCGUUGUCCGGAAUUACUGGGUGUAAAGGGAGCGCAGGCGGGGAAACAAGUCAGCUGUGGAAUACGUGGGCUUAACCGACGAACUGCAGUUGAAACUGUUUUUCUUGAGUGAAGUAGAGGUUGGCGGAACUCCGAGUGUAGCGGUGAAAUGCGUAGAUAUUCGGAGGAACACCGGUGGCGAAGGCGGCCAACUGGGCUUUUACUGACGCUGAGGCUCGAAAGUGUGGGGAGCAAAC